GUGCUGCUUCAGCAGCACAUAUGCUGAAAUUGGAACAAUACAGAGAUUAGCAUGGCCCCUGAGCAAGGAUGACAUGCAAAUUCGUGAAGUGUUCCAUAUUCAU